rnacentral:rRNA from 1 species
CCCUUGGAUGUUCUGGGCCGCACGCGCGCUACACUGUUCGACGCAGCGAGUCUUAACCUUGACCGAAAGGUUUGGGUAAUCUUCAGCAAAGUCGAACGUGAUGGGGAUCGAUCAUUGCAAUUAUUGAUCGUGAACGAGGAAUUCCUAGUAAGUGCAAGUCAUCAGCUUGCGCUGAUUACGUCCCUGCCCUUUGUACACACCGCCCGUCGCUACUACCGAUUGAAUGGUUUAGUGAGAUCUCUGGAUUGACGCUGGCUAGGGGGCGACCCUUGGCCAGGCUGUCGAGAAACUGCUCAAACUUGAUCAUUUAGAGGAAGUAAAAGUCGUAACA